rnacentral:rRNA from 1 species
GUUUGAUCCUGGCUCAGAAUCAACGCUGGCGGCGCGCUUAACACAUGCAAGUCGAACGAGAAAGCAGGAGCAAUCCUGUGAGUAAAGUGGCGUACGGGUGAGUAACACGUGGAUAAUCUGCCCUGGAGUGGGGAAUAACGCUGGGAAACCGGCGCUAAUACCGCAUAUUCCCGAGAGGGGAAAGCAGCAAUGCGCUCGAGGAGGAGUCCGCGGCUGAUUAGCUAGUUGGUAGGGUAAUGGCCUACCAAGGCUUCGGUCGGUAGCCGGCCUGAGAGGGCACACGGCCACACUGGCACUGAAACACGGGCCAGACUCCUACGGGAGGCAGCAGUGGGGAAUCUUGCACAAUGGGGGCAACCCUGAUGCAGCGACGCCGCGUGAGCGAUGAAGCCCUUCGGGGUGUAAA